rnacentral:rRNA from 1 species
UACGUAGGGGGCAAGCGUUGUCCGGAUUUAUUGGGCGUAAAGAGCGUGUAGGCGGCUAUACAGGUCCGUUGUGAAAACUCGAGGCUCAACCUCGAGACGCCGAUGGAAACCGUAUGGCUAGAGUCCGGAAGAGGAGAGCGGAAUUCCUGGUGUAGCGGUGAAAUGCGCAGAUAUCAGGAAGAACACCAAUUGCGAAGGCAGCACUCUGGGACGUGACUGACGCUGAGACGCGAAAGCGUGGGGAGCGAACAGG